rnacentral:rRNA from 1 species
CCCUUAGAUGUCCUGGGCCGCACGCGCGCUACACUGAGUGUCUGAGAUACGAGUCUGCCUGGUCCGGCAAGGUCUAGGUAAUCGCUAAAAGACACAUCAUGCUUGGGAUAGAUUAUUGCAAAUAUUAAUCUUGAACGAGGAAUUCCUAGUAAGCGCAAGUCAACAGCUUGCGUUUAUUACGUCCCUGCCCUUUGUACGCACCGCCCGUCGCUACUACUGAUUGGAUGUUUAAGCGAGGUUCUCGAACUGCUAGCGACUUAGCUUCGGUGAGGUCGCAGUGUGGGAAGUGAACCUAGCUUUGGUGUCUAGAGGAAGUAAAAGUCGUAACA